UACGAAGGGGGCUAGCGUUGUUCGGAAUCACUGGGCGUAAAGCGUAUGUAGGCGGAUUGUUAAGUCAGGGGUGAAAUCCCGAGGCUCAACCUCGGAACUGCCUUUGAUACUGGCUGUCUUGAGUCCGGGAGAGGUGAGUGGAACUCCUAGUGUAGAGGUGAAAUUCGUAGAUAUUAGGAAGAACACCAGUGGCGAAGGCGGCUCUCUGGACCGAUACUGACGCUGAGGCGCGAAAGCGUGGGGAGCAAACAGG
rnacentral:rRNA from 1 species